rnacentral:rRNA from 1 species
ACGGGGUGCAGCAGGCGCGAAAACUUUACAAUGCGGGCAACCGUGAUAAGGAAACCCCGAGUGCCACCACAGGGUGGCUGUCCACCAGCGUAAACAACUGGUGAAGAAAGGGCCGGGCAAGACCGGUGCCAGCCGCCGCGGUAAUACCGGCGGCUCGAGUGGUGGCCGCUUUUACUGGGCUUAAAGGGUCCGUAGCUGGAUCUGUGUGUCCCUUGAGAAAUCCAUCGGCUUAACUGAUGGGCGUUCAGGGGAAACUGCAGUUCUAGGGACCGGGAGAGGUGAGAGGUACUGCCGGGGUAGGAGUGAAAUCCUGUAAUCCCGGUGGGACGACCUAUGGCGAAGGCAUCUCACCAGAACGGCUCCGACAGUGAGGGACGAAAGCUGGGGGAGCAAACCGGAUUAGAUACCCGGGUAGUCCCAGCUGUAAACUAUGCGCAUUAGGUGUGUCAGUGACCACGUGUCACUGAGGUGCCGAAGGGAAACCGUGAAAUGCGCCGCCUGGGGAGUACGGUCGCAAGGCUGAAACUUAAAGGAAUUGGCGGGGGAGCACA